CCACAGACUAGGACCCCACACCCAUGUGCCCCCAUGAAGUAGCGCCAUGUCCGGACCAUGGGGGACCCCAAUCACAUGUCCCCCCACCUGUGCUCCCGUUAAGGAGGGGACCCCCAUGCGCCCUCUGAGUGCGGGGUCCCCAAACCACGGGCCUCCUUCCCAACUCCCAGCGCAGCUCUGGAGGGGGGAGUCCAGCUCCUAGGGGGCACUGGCCCAGACCCCGCCUACCCACGGACCCCCAUCUACCACCAGGAGUGAGGGCGCUGGAGACACCCACCCCCAAGGGAAGCCGGGCUGAGUCAGGCGGCUCGGUGCUGUGCUGCACAGUGCCCAAAAGGCUUGCUCCUGCCUCCAGACUCAGCCAUCUCCUAGAGGCAGGCCGUGCAGGCUCCUGGAAGUCACAGGCUCCCUGACAUCAGCACGAUCCUUUCCAGAAGCCUCCCCACCACCACCAUCCGGGCUCCAGGAACAAGCGUCUGGGUAGAGCAAACCUGGCCCAUUGUUCUCCACGAAGGAAGCCAUUUAGAUGUCUUUUUGUUUUGCUUAGAGUCGUCAACCAGCAAAAGUAUUUCCUAAAUACCCCUGAUUGACCGGUUCAAUUAGAAAUAGAUUACCUUCCAAUUACUUCACAAGGAUGGGCUUAAUUAACCUUUAAUAAUCACAUCAUUAUUCAGUUUUCCGAGAUAACAAAUGAGAAGCCCCUCUUGGAAACUAUAAAACAUGCCACGUGGCCUCGAAAAUGAAGCGUCCCUUCAUCUCCACAUUGAAAACCGGUGUGAGUGGCGACUGACGAGGCCUGGGGCUUUCCAAGAGCCGGGUCUCCGAAGCCAAGAACAGAUGCAGCAACACAUGCGACGUCACUCCAAGAGUAAACAGAAAAGGCCUUCCACCGGGCACACACUCAGAACCGGCACUGUAUUUCAGGGCUCGGCCUUCCGACAGCAUCCUGGGGGCUGUUCGCUCUCCCUUCUGGAGAAGAGAAUUUUCUCCAACAUCUAUCAUUUCAUUUUCUCAGCCAGGUUUUCAACGCCGUCCACACGUAUACUUUGAAUCAACAUAUUUUGAUGUAGUCUGCACUACUAAUCUGUGAAAAGAUGAUAAAACCGUUGUGAAAUCAACACUUUUUCCGCCCCCCUCUAAGUAAGAUCAAGAGCGUGAGGCCCGUGUUCAAGCAUACAAAGAAACUUUCAGAGCAACGGAACAGACUGGCCAUUGUGUGUGCGCUAGCAGAAGCUAGCCCAGCUCUGGCCAAAAAUAACUCGGCCAGAUAGUCUUGUGAAAUGGACUCUGAGUGUACUUUGAUAUAACAUUGAAUGAGAGUUAACAGAGCCUGGGGAUCUAGAACUUGCUAAGACAGUUAUUCUGUCUCAGCGUGAGAGGGGCAGGAGAGCUCAGGGUUUAGGUGCUGACUGCCGAGUCUUGUAGCUGAGUCCUGUCUGAAUUUGGUGUGUGGGGGAAAGGCAGCCUGCGGCUGGCAGAUCCCAGCGGGAGCAGGUCCUGGCCUCAGCACAGUCCGGACAUGGGAGCACUCUCCCCCCUGUGGAAAGGCUGACCGUCCGCCCAGCCUUCUGCUGCAGCAGAGCUGUGUUCUGUCUUUCUCUGUCCCAGCACCACUUGCCCGGGCGAUUUCUGCUUAUGUCGAAUGAUUAAUCGGGGGUCCCUGAGGACAAAGACCUCUCUGCAUUACUGUUACUUACUCUCCUGUGCAGCUCACGUAGCCCGAGUUCAGCAGCAGUCUGUGAAUUCAGUGCACACACCUGCCUGCCAGAGAUUCGGUGGGCGCUGGGGUGGUCCGCACACUCGGUUCACGUGUCUAAAGCAUGUGGCAUGUCCCGGGCCCUUCCCUGCUGCAGAUACCCUGGGUUUCCAGCCGAGCAGGAAAGAUAAACAAUUGAAACAAA